GAGUUUGAACCUGGCUCAGGAUGAACGCUGGCGGCGUGCUUAACACAUGCAAGUCGAGCGAAGCACUUUCUCGGAAGUUUUCGGACGGAAGAGGAUUUGACUGAGCGGCGGACGGGUGAGUAACGCGUGGGGAACCUGCCUCAUACAGGGGAAUAACAGAUGGAAACGUCUGCUAAUGCCGCAUAAGCGCACACUGUGGCAUCACAGAGUGUGAAAAACUCCGGUGGUAUGAGAUGGCCCCGCGUCUGAUUAGGCAGUUGGUGGGGUAACGGCCCACCAAACCGACGAUCAGUAGCCGACCUGAGAGGGUGACCGGCCACAUUGGGACUGAGACACGGCCCAAACUCCUACGGGAGGCAGCAGUGGGGAAUAUUGCACAAUGGGGGAAACCCUGAUGCAGCGGCGCCGCGUGGGUGACGAAGUAUUUCGGUAUGUAAAGCCCUAUCAGCAGGGAAGAAGAUGACAGUACCUGACUAAGAAGCUCCGGCUAACUACGUGCCAGCAGCCGCGG
rnacentral:rRNA from 1 species